ensembl:Mt_tRNA
UCACAGUUAGGAUAAGAAAUCCGUGUUUUUUCCAAAAAUAAAAUGUAUCUGUACUCAUUCACUGUGGA